rnacentral:lncRNA from 1 species
UCUUUUUCCUGUUCCUUCUGCGGUUUCGGUAGGGGCCGGGCCAACCGGUAUCGACAGAAAAAAAGCCUCCGAGAUCAAGAGGCAUUUCGCGACUUUUCC